rnacentral:rRNA from 1 species
AGAGCGGCGGACGGGUGAGUAACACGUGGACAAGUCUGCCCCCCGGCCCGGGAUAGCCCAGGGAAACCUGGAUUAAUACCGGAUGAGACGGGACCCGCGAUGGCGGGACCCGGGAAAGGCGCUGCGGCGCCGCCGGGGGAUGAGUCUGCGUCCCAUUAGCUAGACGGCGGGGUAACGGCCCACCGUGGCGACGGAUGGGUAGCCGGCCUGAGACGGGUGGACGGCCACAUUGGAACUGAGACACGGUCCAGACUCCUACGGGAGGCAGCAGCUAAGAAUCUUCCGCAAUGGGCGAAAGCCUGACGGAGCGACGCCGCCGUGGAACGAAGAAGGCCGUGAGGUUGUAAAGUUCUUUUCGGGAGGGGGCACAACCGUGGCAGGGAAUGGCCGCGGGAUGACGUGAAUCCCGGAAUAAGCCCCGGCUAACUACGUGCCAGCAGCCGC